CGCUUUUAAAUUGCCCUGGUAAUGUUUCCCGCAGAUUCUGAUCUGUUCCUCCCGCUCCCACAUUUUUUAAACAAAUGUCAUUCAGAAUAGAGGGGUGGAGGUGGUUGUAGUUUUGUUUGCAAACUGAUGUUUGCUGUUAAGACUGCGAUCCAGGCUGCGCCCAUUUUGCAGAUGGAGAUUUGCCAACCCGUGCGGAUGGUUCCCUGUCUGUCCCAGACGUGCUAAUAUUUGUAGCCACUAAUUGAAUCACUACCGCUUUCUAUGACCCAAGAGGUGGGCUAAGACUUUUAUUGUUUUGCAUCAUUUAAAUGUCGGUAAACCCGAUGGAAUAAAGCAAAGCAAACCUGCUCUGCGGAUGAGGACACUGAGGUUCAGAGAUUGCCCAAGGUCUUGCACGGCGAGAGCAGGCCUGAAGAUUCAAACUCAGAUCACUCUGACGCCACAAAGCCGGUGCCCUUGAUCACUACCACCACCUGGCAUUUUCCUGAGAGCUACUGGAGUUCUCCCUGCGGGCUGUGAGCUGGAAUCUGUGAACAGAGAAGGACCUGGGCCAAGGGAUCUCAGAGGCCGGUGAAAACUGACCUGGAGCAGGGCUUGCACCCUGACUUUGCAACGACCAUACGGUCUGUCAGCAUUUCAUCAACCCUCUGUGGGUCAAAAGGAUAGCCCAUCUGACCCACCUCACGAGGUGGUUGUGAAGAUCAAAGGAAAAAUCGCGUGGAAAUACCAAAUAUUUCACUAUUGUAAAGACUCAUUUUAAGACUUUAUAUUCUAGUAACCUACUGUCAUUCGAUAUGCUUCCAUUGUCAGAGAAGAAAUCUGGCCAUACGUCCUCUUAUUCCAUGUCUUCAAAACUAGUACUUACCGUAUUCACAUGUAUUCUUUCUUCAAAUUUUCUACCUACGUACCUUGAAAGGAAAUUUCUGAAAAUCAUUUGUUCUGCAUCUCUCCUCAGUUGCCACCCCCCACAUCUUUUGGGGGUUUUUGUAUCAAGUUUCCACGGACUAUAUUAAGGGAGGAAAAUAAAACAGGAGUGCAAAGGAAAAUUUGACUGUGAGGUCAUCAUACUAUUGUGAUCACUCACUGCUGACAUGCCCAGAUUGAACCAUUUGCCUUACUGCGGAAACAAAUAAGUCACAAACUUAACUCAACUGAAGUAGAGGGACCCUGAAGUUCUUUCGUGUGACUGGGUACGGUGGUGUAUGCCUGUAAUCCCAGCACUUGGGAGACUGAGGCAGGAGGAUUGAUGAGUUCAAUGUCAUCCUGAGCUACAUGGUGAGUCCAAGGCCAGACUGAACUACAUACCAAGACCCUGUCUCAAGAAACCCCCAAAAAAUAUAAACUAAAAAUAAUAUGUUCUAAGUAGACCAACAUGGACAUGGUAACUGAAACCAUGGAAAAUAACACUACAGAUAAGGAGAGACCUAGCAAUUCUUCUUCAAUUUUAAACCUUUAGAGCAGGAAGAGAUGGGAUAAAAAAGAAUUGAGAAGAGUUAUGUACAUGUACCAACUUGCCACAAUAAAUGUAAUCAUCAUGCACUGCAAGUAUGUAGUAAUAAAAUAAAUAAAAAC
ensembl:lncRNA